GCAUUAAGUGAUGAUGAUUUAAUUCUGCAUAUACUCUUUGGCUUAGUCCAGAUUAUAACUCUGUUGCUACCUACAUUACUGGACAAGUAAGAGUGGGGAAAAUGAAUGUAAACGAAGCUUAUGCUAUGCUCCUAAC
rfam:Citrus clementina cultivar Clemenules unplaced genomic scaffold scaffold_2, whole genome shotgun sequence.